AGUUAGAGUCAACUGAGAAGAGGGAACUUCAGCUGAGAAAGUGGCUCCAUCAGACCAGCCUGUAGGAUUAUGUGUAGGAAUCAAAUUUCAGGAGAUUUCAGAGACAAGUCAAAGGCUGUGAGAUUUAAACAAGAAGCUUACCUACCAACAAGAUGCUUAAGUUGAAGGGGAAACUAUCUAGGAACAUUGUUUUCAAGAGUGUUUUGUCCUUACAAAGACAGGUUAUCCUACGUAUAACAGCUACAUAUGAAAAUACUACAGUCGCCUUUGGUUUUACAACAAUAAAUGAAAAAUAUUAAAAUUC